AAUAAGGUUUCCUUUUGCCAAGUAGAGGACAAAGACACACACAACCUAAAGGAAAGGCACUGUGGUAGAGAGGGCCGAAUUUGAAUUUCCAUUCUCAGAAUCGAAUACCCGACAUCCUGCGAGUCAUCACCCGGCUGUCUCAGGACGACUAUAAAGCGCCUCGGGACAAGAGACGGCUUCUGAAUAAUACAGGAACCCACAGCGGAAAGAUGAAACGCAUAAUUCAUCUCAACAUCCUCUAUUCUUAAACCCCGCGGGACGGAUACCACAGCUUUUUUUGGACCAGCAGGUGACAGAUAACGCCGUAUCUCCCAUCAUGACAAAUCACACCCAACAGAAUCAAGCGACGGAUCACGGUGCUUAGAUGUGUCAAUUACCACGUUUAUUUUCUUGUUAAUCUGUCUCAUUUUCUAGCUAUCGCUCUCUUUCCAUCCUUGUCUAUUAUUUCUGAUGUGAGUCAAACAGCCAAUGACAGGGAGUCGGAGGGUAUUCACAUGCUGAUGCUGAGAGAAACGUUACCUGAAAUGAACUCUGGAUAAAUGCGAGUCACGCUGGCAAGAAACAAGACUUGACAAAAGUGCUUGAGACAGACACACACUCUGAAAACCAUUAGCGGUUUCACUCGGUAUACUUUAAAUAUAGCUACGUGUAGUGUAAAUCUAUCCAUAAAGAAGAGAAGUCUCUUUAAAAUCUUUAUUCUUAGAUAACAAUGUGAUUAAAUGGAUACUUUAUUGUUUAUUUUCCCAUGAAAACUGACCUCAGUCACCUUUUUUUAAAGUUAGAGAUUUCACGAUUCAACAAAUGUCUUAACAG